rnacentral:rRNA from 1 species
CCCGCGGACGGUGUGAGGNNGNGGNNNCCNGCGCGCCNNNNCCGGGUCUUCUCGGAGUCGGGUUGCUUGGGAAUGCAGCCNNAAGCGGGUGGUAAACUCCAUCUAAGGCUAAAUACGUGCGGUAACGCGACCGAUCCCGGAGAAGCCGGCGGGAGCCCCGGGGAGAGUUCUCUUUUCUUUGUGAAGGGCAGGGCGCCCUGGAAUGGGUUCGCCCCGAGAGAGGGGCCCGCGCCUUGGAAAGCGUCGCGGUUCCGGCGGCGUCCGGUGACGUCUCGCUGGCNCUUGAAAAUCCGGGGGAGAGGGUGUAAAUCUCGCGCCGGGCCCCCGCGCACGUUCGCGGGGAACCC